AUGAUAAGAGAGACUUGGUCCACAGCAACAUUCCAGAUUUUUGGCCUUGCAGUGGGAGUUGUCUGGGGACAUGUGGCAGAGUGUCUUGUCCGAGCCUAAAUCAUGAUUCAGAUCCUGAUCAUGUCUGAUGCAAUCAGACCCGUGAUUUCCCAAGUACCUGUCAACUGCGUGGGCAGAUCUACAUAACGAGGAAGGGACCUGUAAGGAGGACAACUUCUAUGUGGGCACUUAGAGAGAGGCAGAAACAGAAGGAUAGACAGAACUCAAAAUUGGCUUCCUAGUCUAGCCCCACGGGUUUGUAGUUUAAGAAAGGCAUAAGCUAUAUAUACAAGCUUAAAGAUGCACAAACAGGCAAUUUAGGUAAUCUCAAGCUCUGUUAGCCUGGUUCCCUAUAAACAGCGAUGGUGAAUGGUGGCUUGGCCCCAUUUCUGAAUGGAGUACACCUUCACUUUGCUCUCGUACAAUGAAGGCUAUAGUACAUUUGGGUCUCCUGGCAUCUUGGGGGUUCAUGGCUUUGACGAUCCAAGAGAUGGACUUUGAGAAGCAGCCUUCUCACAAAGAGCGGUGAGGACACUCUUCCUUCAAGAGCUUUUCAGAGUCCUGUCCCAGGUUCUGGGAGAAGAUACAGCGGGUGGAUUGUUCCAGGAAUGGGAGAACCCAAAGUCACCAGCACACCAGUGAUUACAAAAGUGAAUAAUCCUUGUUCGGACCUGGGCUGUCAACAAAGACUGAGUGAAUGGCAGCACAGAGAAUGGUGUACCAAGCAGUCAAGCAGUGGGACAGCCUUCCCCAGCCACCUCUUCUCUCUCAGGCUAAGCCUUUGAUGUGCCCCAGAAAGGCAGGUUUCAGCAUUUUUCACAAAGGAGCUGCCGUAGAGAAACUAAGUUGUGUCCAUCAAAACCAUUUAUGAGAUAGGGUCUAAAUUUUGUUUUCUUAUGCAACUGGGAAAAUGUCUCAGAUCACAUUUUUCCUUUCUCUGUAUUAACAGAAGAUCAUAUUUUCACUUGGGUCUAAAAACAGACACCUAACACGGCAAUAAACUCCUUCAUAGU